rnacentral:rRNA from 1 species
CGGACGGGUGGGGAGUGUCUGGGAAACUGCCUGAUGGAGGGGGAUAACUACUGGAAACGGUAGCUAAUACCGCAUAACGUCGCAAGACCAAAGAGGGGGACCGUUCGGGCCUCUUGCCAUCGGAUGUGCCCAGAUGGGAUUAGCUAGUAGGUGGGGUAACGGCUCACCUAGGCGACGAUCCCUAGCUGGUCUGAGAGGAUGACCAGCCACACUGGAACUGAGACACGGUCCAG